rnacentral:lncRNA from 1 species
CUUUCUCGCGUCCGCAGUGUCCCUGAGGGUCCGCGUCUACACGCGGCUGUGAGGAAGGAAGGCGCGUGCCGCGUGGGACGGGCUCCACCUGCCUGCGGACAGAUGGAGGGUCACUUUGUUCCGAGAAGACCCAGACACCCGAGGGAGGAUGUGAAACGGAACGACCCGUUUCGGUCCUGAACUCAAUAUUUUUACCCACCCAAUCCCACACCCACUCCCCUUGAGGCAGUUGAAAACUCUGGCUAGUUUCUCAGCCUCUCUCCAUUACUGCUUUCUGAAUGUUAAUUGCCUCGAAGGGAAAAGUGGCACCAAAUUCUGGACUCAAAAUCUUGGAUUUAGGCCCCUCAGACUGUUGAAGUUCUACUGCUCCAGAAAAGAGUAAUAACAGGAUGGAGAUGGAGUUUCAUGACAAAAAUGAAGGUGAAUAUGAUGUGGAAAAUACAAAGAUGGAAGCAACAAGCUAAGGAUGCUGGGGCAGAAAGAUGGAACCUGGGUUACUCAUGACAUCUUGAAACUGCUGCAGCCAUCCUAGACUGGCUGCCUCUAGACUUAAUAUGUUUAGAAAGUAAAUCCCAAUUUUAUUAAACUGUUAUCUGUUAUGUAUAUAUGAACACAUUCUUAGCUAAUAAACUAUCAUGUCUCCUAACUAGUCUUCUAGGCUCUACCAGUUAGAUAGUAAUGUGAGUUGGUAUGUCAGAAAUACAAGAGCUGUCACAAAGCAAUACAACUCCUAUAACAUUUCCUGAUAAUUCUGUAAAUAUACCAAAUCAUUGUAAGAUUAAGAAACAUGUUAAUUAAAAACAGGAAGUAGAAGAAAUAACGAUGCCCAUAGUUGAACAUUUUAAAGUCUCAUUUUGGCCACGCAGUGGCUCAUGCCUGUAAUCCCAGCACUUCGGGAGGCUAAGGCAGGAGGAUCAGUUGAGAGCAGGAGUUUAAGAGCAGCCUGGCCAGCAUGGUGAGACCCCUAUCUCUACGGAAAAAAAAUUUUAAUUAGCUGGGCACGGUGGCAUGCAUCUCUAGUCCCUGCUACUCGGAAGCUGAGGCAGGAGGAUUGCUUGAGCCCAAGAGGUCAAGGCUGCGGUGAGCUAUGGUCACACUAUUGCACUCCAGCCUGGGCAACAGAACAGGACCCUGUCUAAAUCUCAUUUUAACACUUUGAUAUAGUUAUAAUCUGUCUUAUUUAUUCAAGGUAUUUUUCUAUAUUAUUUUACCUAACAUUAUAUCAUAAACAGCUUUCCAUGUUAAUAUUGUCUUUUAAACAAAUAGCUCUUCAAUAUUCCAAGUAAUUAUAGUAUUUUUUGCUUAUUUAGUUCAUUCUAAUUGCACAUGUUCACUUUUUUUCAUAACUUAUUCACUGCGUAUCUACUACAUUCUAGUAACUGGACUAAAUAUUAUAAGUACACAUAGAUGAAUAAGAUGUGGCUCCUCCCUGAGCACUCUUCAAAACUACAAAAGACACAUGUACAUGCAAUAUAUAUGUAUAUAUGGCGUAUGUGUGUGUAUACUUUUUAUAUGUGACUCUAAGCUAUUUAAUAAGCUAUUUAAUUAUCUUUAUUUUUUUAAUUUCUUUUUUUUGAGACAGGAUCUCACUCUGUCCCCUAGGCUGGAGUGCAGUGGCGUAAUCUUGACUGCAACUUCUGCUUCCAGGUUCAAGUGAUUCUCCUGCGUCAGCCACCUGAGUAGCUUGGAUUACAUGUGUGGGCCACUGCGCUCAGCUGAUUUUUGUAUUUUUAAUAGAGACAGGGUUUCACCAUGUUGGCCAGGCUGGUCUCAAACUCCUGGCUUCAAGCAAUCCACCUGCCUAGACCUCCCAAAGUGCUAGACUACAGGCAUGAGCCACUGUGCCUGGCCAAAUUAUCUUUAAAUAUGCUUAUAGAAUGGAAAUAUUUUAAUUUCCAAUUCCUUUUAUUGAUAAUUUCUGUCAUUCUUAUCUGCUGGAUUUCCCUUUAGCAUGACUGAUCAGUUAUCAGUAGAGUACUUACAAUGAACAGUUUAUUAAUAUAAAAGCCAUUCCUUCUUACUUGAAUUUCAAGUGACCCAAGGCCUCCGGUUUUCAUUUUCAUUAACAGUAAGUGCUAUCAAAUGUAAAUACCAAUAUUCUAUUGCUUUCUGUUUUCAUAAUUGUUAGUUAAUUUCCUAACAUCCUUCUUGUGGAAAGAUAAUCAUUUUUGGUUACCACAUAAGGAAACUGUGAAUAACAUGACUCAGAGCAGAAUGAAAAACCUGAGAUUUGAAAACAAAGGCUUUAGUAGCUUUGCUGUACUAAAAGACAGUAUUCCCCAUGCUGUAUAUGGGAAAUACAGCCAACUUGCAUAAAUGGCAGACUGACAACUCCUUAUCUAAGAGAGCUAAGUCCAAGCUAUAACAUUUUCUAUGAGUGUAUAUGUAAGAGUAAUUUAUUCUUUAACUCAAAAUUGCGUAUGUGCAUGAAUCUCAUAUAUCUAAAGUGAAAGAGGCUGGAUGCAGUGGCUCACACCUAUAAUCCCAGUGCUUUGGGAGGCCAAGGAAGGAGGAUUGCUUGAGGCUAGGAGUUUAUGACCAGCCUGGAAAACAGUGGGACCCCAUCUGUACCAAAUUUUUUUUUUUUGCAGGGACGGAGUCUUGCUCUGUUGCCCAGGCUGGAGUGCAGUGGCAUGAUCUCUGCUCACUGCAAGCUCUGCCUCCCGGGGUCACGCCAUUCUCCUGCCUCAGCCUCCUGAGUAUCUGGGACUACAGGUGCCUGCCACCACACCCAGUGAAUUUUUUGUAUUUUUUAGUAGAGAUGGGGUUUCACCGUGUUAGCCAGGAUGGUCUUGAUCUCCUGACCCCGUGAUCCGCCCACCUCAGCCUCCCAGGGUGCUGGGAUUACAGACGUGAGCCACCGCGCCUGGCUACCAAAAAUUUUUAAAAAGAAAUUUGCCAGGCAGGGUGGCAUGCACCUACAGUCCCAGCUACUAGGCAAUUGAGGCAGGAGGAUCACAUGAGCCAAGGAGGUGGCGGUGAGCCAUGGCCACAUUACUGCAAUCUAGCCUGGGCAACAGAGCAAGACCUUGCCUCAAUAAAUAAAUAAAUAAAUAAGCAGUCUCAUUACUGCA